rnacentral:rRNA from 1 species
GACGAACGCUGGCGGCGUGCUUAACACAUGCAAGUCGAACGGAAAGGCCCUGCUUGCAGGGUACUCGAGUGGCGAACGGGUGAGUAACACGUGGGUGAUCUGCCCUGCACUUCGGGAUAAGCCUGGGAAACUGGGUCUAAUACCGGAUAGGAGCCAUUUUUAGUGUGAUGGUUGGAAAGUUUUUUCGGUGUAGGAUGAGCUCGCGGCCUAUCAGCUUGUUGGUGGGGUAAUGGCCUACCAAGGCGGCGACGGGUAGCCGGCCUGAGAGGGUGGACGGCCACACUGGGACUGAGAUACGGCCCAGACUCCUACGGGAGGCAGCAGUGGGGAAUAUUGCACAAUGGGCGCAAGCCUGGUGCAGCGAGGCCGCGUGGGGGAUGACGGCCUUCGGGUUGUAAAAUCCUUUCGCUAGGGACGAAGCUUUUUGUGACGGUACCUAAAGAAGAAGCACCGGCUAACUACGUG